CCCUUAGAUGUUCUGGGCUGCACGCGCGCUACACUGAUGCGCUCAACGAGUUUAUAACCUUGAUCUGACGGUCUGGGUAAUCUUCAAACUGUAUCGUGUUAGGGAUCGAUUCUUGCAAUUUUUAAUCGUAAACGAGGAAUUCCUAGUAAACGCAAGUCAUCAGCUUGCAUUGAUUACGUCCCUGCCCUUUGUACACACCGCCCGUCGACUCUACCGAUUGAAUGGUUCGGUGAAAACUUUGGACUGUGGCAUUGUCCUUCAUUGGACUUCGCCGUAGGAAAUUGUUUAAACCUCAUCAUUUAGAGGAAGAAUAAGUCGUAACA
rnacentral:rRNA from 1 species